GGUUCCAUAGUGUAGCUGUUAGCAUGUCUGUUUUACACACAGAAGGUUCUGGGUUCACACACCAGUAGAGCCA
rnacentral:tRNA from 1 species